CCUACGGGUGGCAGCAGUGAGGAAUAUUGGUCAAUGGGCGUAAGCCUGAACCAGCCAAGUCGCGUGAGGGAUGAAGGUUCUAUGGAUCGUAAACCUCUUUUAUAAGGGAAUAAAGUGUGGGACGUGUCCUAUUUUGUAUGUACCUUAUGAAUAAGGAUCGGCUAACUCCGUGCCAGCAGCCGCGGUAAUACGGAGGAUCCGAGCGUUAUCCGGAUUUAUUGGGCUUAAAGGGAGCGUAGGCGGGCGUUCAAGUCAGCUGUAAAAUCGCGCGGCUCAACCGCGCCCCGCAGUUGAAACUGGACGCCUUGAGUUCACAACAGGCAGGCGGAAUUCGUGGUGUAGCGGUGAAAUGCAGAGAUAUCACGAGGAACCCCGAUUGCGAAGGCAGCCUGCCGGGGUGCGACUGACGCUGAGGCUCGAAGGUGCGGGUAUCAAACAGGAUUAGAUACCCGGGUAAUC
rnacentral:rRNA from 1 species